GAUGAACGCUGGCGGCGUGCCUAAUACAUGCAAGUCGAGCGAACGGACGAGAAGCUUGCUUCUCUGAUGUUAGCGGCGGACGAGUGAGUAACACGUGGAUAACCUACCUAUAAGACUGGGAUAACUUCGGGAAACCGGAGCUAAUACCGGAUAAUAUUUUGAACCGCAUGGUUCAAAAGUGAAAGACGGUCUUGCUGUCACUUAUAGAUGGAUCCGCGCUGCAUUAGCUAGUUGGUAAGGUAACGGCUUACCAAGGCAACGAUGCAUAGCCGACCUGGGAGGAUGAACAGCCACACUGGAACUGAGACACGGUCCAAACUCCUACGGGAGGCAGCAGUAGGGAAUCUUCAGCAAUGGGCGAAAGCCUGACGGAGCAACGCCGCGUGAGUGAUGAAGGUCUUCGGAUCGUAAAACUCUGUUAUUAGGGAAGAACAUAUGUGUAAGUAACUGUGCACAUGUUGACGGUACCUAAUCAGAAAGCCACGGCUAACUACGUG
rnacentral:rRNA from 1 species